ACACUAAGAAGUCCUAAGAGAAAGAAGAAAAACCCUAUUUGCUGCUUGGGAGAGGGAAGGUGAAAGAAAGCUCCAUUCGAAGUAAAUUACUUUAACGAAUAAAUGGAUCCAAUCAGCUCAAAAAUUGACCCAUCAGAGUUCAAGCCUGGAGGUUCAGAACUCGAGGUCUUGCAGAAAGAGGUCGAGGAAAAAACGAAGAAAAUUAAAGAGAUGAAGAAGGAGAUUGAAGCAAUAAAAAUGUGGUUGGAGGAGAAGAAAGGUUCAAGGGAAGAGAUAGAAAGUUUAAAGAGAUUAUGUGAAGAAUACAACAGCUUGAGAAAGGAAUACUAUGAAACAUUGGGCAAACAGACAAGGGAAUCCUAGGAAUUGUGUAAUUAAUGACCAUAUACUAUAAUUAUUAAUGUCUAUUUGCAUGCUGUUUAAAUUAUUAUUAAAAU